rnacentral:rRNA from 1 species
CCUGCCAAUGACUACAUGUUUAAUGGCCGCGGUAUAACUAACCGUGCAAAGGUAGCGCAAUCACUUGUCUUUUAAAUGAAGACCCGUAUGAAAGGCAAAACGAGGGCUUUACUGUCUCCUCUCUCCAGUCAAUGAAAUUGAUCUCCCCGUGCAGAAGCGGGGAUCAAAACAUAAGACGAGAAGACCCUGUGGAGCUUAAGACUAAAGGCAAAGUCCACUUAGACCCUAAAAUAAAAGAAUAAACAUGUCUUUUGCCCGUGUGUCUUUGGUUGGGGUGACCCCGGGAAAUAACAAAACUCCCGCGAAGACCGAGAAAACUUUUCUCACAAACAAGACCCGCCCGUCCACUUAACAGAACACCUGACUAAACUUUAACUAACGAUCCGGCCCCUGCCAAUUUAUGAACCAAGUUACCCCAGGGAUAACAGCGCAAUCCUCUUUUAGAGCCCCUAUCGACAAGGGGGUUUACGACCUCGAUGUUGGUUCAGGACUUCCCGAUGGUGCAGCCGCUAUCAAAGGUUCGUUUGUUCAACGAUUAAUAGUCCUACGUGAUCU